CGAGUGUUGAGGGCCGUCUCCGAAUCAGUCAUACUGUGCAGUUUUUGAUGGCCUGUCACUUCAGCCGGACUUGUAAACCAAUUGGACAGCAGUUCAGGCAGAGCUAUAGACUAAUUCCGACACCACCUAAAAAUGUACAUUUAGGUUUACGUAUAAUAUUGAGGUCACUUAAAUACAGAUUCCCUGCUGUUUUUCACGCACGGUCUAUCACAACAACAUCGUUCCAAGAAAGAAAGCAUAAUAUUAUUAUCCUUUUUGUGUUUUCAGCUGAAUACUUGAUUUAACUUGAACUCAGCAAGAUAUCCAAACAGGAAAAAUAAGGCAAAGUAGUGUUAUUCUGAGUAGAUCUGCCUGGCGGGAUUGAAAGCGAAGGCAGAUAGCAGUGUCGGUCCAAAA